rnacentral:rRNA from 1 species
CCUGAGAAACCCAAAAGAUCGAAUGGGGAGAUUCAUCGUCAGCGAUUUUGGUACGGGUGCGGUUCGCGAUGCCGGAGACUUCGGUCUUCAGGCACGCGUCCGCAUGUUUUUUAUUGCCUCGAUCGUCGGNNNNNNNNNNNNNNNUAGUAGGACGUCGCGACCCGUUGGGUGUCGGUCUACGGCUCGGGUGGUAGCCUGUCUCGUGUACGCUUCGCUGGUGUACGCGGUUCAGACCCCCGGUUGCCCGACCGGCUGCCCGGCGGUAUUCGCACGGUAUCUGGCCGCAAAUAUUCGAACUGCGUCCGGCCCGUCGCAAGCGAGGCAAGUGUUUCCCGGUUGUACGGAUCUAAUGCCGUCACCGGGCCUUGCCAGCUGUUGGUUGACGGUGUCCUAGGACUGGCUAAUAAAAUUAUGAUACCGGUCGGCGACGCUACUGCUUUGGGUACUUUCAGGACCCGUCUUGAAACACGGA